rnacentral:tRNA from 1 species
UAACUAGAUAACUGAAAGUAAGUGCAGAUCUUUUAAAUCUGUUAUAGUAUUUAACGCCUACUUCUAGCUAA